CCCUUAAUCAUACCUACCAUCUUAUAACUAUCACUUAUUUUAUGUGUGUAUUCUUCUUAUAUCUUCAAUCCACUUUUACAUAAUGUUUAGCUAAUUAAUCUUUCUUUAAAACCCUUCGAUUUUGUAUUAUGUUAAUUCAAAUUUAUUUCCCUAAAAGGUUAUGACUAUGUUUCGAUAUCAAACAAUCGUUACACUAAAAAGUGAACAAGAUGAGUGUUUCUUGUUUAGUAAUACUUUUUCGGAGCAAUGGGAUAAUUAUUCCAAAUCUUUGAGGAUUUUAAAUUUUAAUCCAAAAGUUUUUUCCGAUGAAAAAUUCGGCAGCGUCUCCUCUAUAUAUUGGUCCUCAUUCCAUCUGUGAAUGAUAAAAUUUCAAUCCAGUGGACUCUCAAUCUUAACUUUCCUAACCUUCCUUCAACCACAAACACAAUUUUCAAAUCAAAUCAACACUUCAAAGAUACCAAGUGUCAACAAUGAGAAAGGAAUAAUGGAUUGAGUGACCACAUUAUUUAUUAAUAUAUUUUUGGAUAAUGGCAUAAAAAAUUUAAACCUUUAAAGAUUUUUUGCAUUUCAAUUAAAAAGAUUUUACUAGCUACAAUAACUUAGAAUUUAAAAACAUUUAGCGAUUCAAUUCAAAUUUGAAAUGUAAGUGGGAAAGCAUUUGCCGGUGGCAACGUUCCAUCUGUAUUUUUUUAUUACUUAACGGUGGAUCAUACGCUACACAUUGAAUAACCAAUGUGAGAAAUUAACUGCCAGUUAAUGGUAAAAAUCCAAGCUUGGUGUUUAACUAACCUGACUUAAAGUCAAAUUUGGAAAUUGUCGGAACAGUUCAACUAUGCUUUUCCUAAGCGAAGCAACGCUAUAGUCUCCAACAUCUAGAGAGCUCAAAUCAAAGCCGUCUCACAACCUAGGAUCCUUAGUCAUCAGCACCACCGCCGGUGCAGUCUGUGCUACGUGAGUGACCUUUCGCUCCUAAAUUACUGUCAACAUUGUCUUCAUAUCAAAUUUACCUAUGGACACCACCGUCGCUCCCAUAGUUAAAGCCCUCACGAAAUAACAUAAACCAUAAACAUGAAAAUAAGGCAAAAGGAAGUUGCAGCUGCCAUCCAGGUCGUGUAAACCUCAUGACUUACAGCCACUAUACAUGUGAAAUUUCGAUGAGUCAAAACCACUCCAUCAACUCGACCAGUAGUCCGUGAGGAUAUAGAAUCAUCGCAGGGUCCAAUCGGUAAACCUUCCCUCGAGUACGAUUUUUUUGAGAUUAGGAAUUAUACGAGCAGCAUUCGACGUUACGAACACAAUUACAGGUAUUGACAGCUGAAUUUGGUGGAGAAUCUCAUGUUUAAAGAUAAUUGAUUCUUAAGGAGACCUAACGACACCGAGAGAGAAGAUACAGAAAUAAAGAAUCGAAAGGUGAAUAGAGUUAGGAGAAAGAACAAAGGCAAUAUCUACUUUUCUGAAGCCAAAAUGGUGGUGAAGCGAGAAGUCUAUUUUUUUGUGCGAAGGAUGAAGUCGGGAAAAUAAAUUCGACAGGGAGUGACGGCAUCGAAGAGAGCGUUUUAUGUUUUUCUACACCAAUUAAGAAUUUUAACUUAACUAACCAAGGAUUAAUAUCUCACCUUGGUUAUCCAAGGUGUAGCGUAGUGUCCACCGUCAAGUAAUAAAAAAAUACAAUAUGGCCUGCUACCGAUAGAUGCUCCCCCACUUUCAAUUCAAAUUUGGAAAGAAUCGCCAAAUAUUUUUAAAUCUUAAUUCAUUGUGCCAAGAAAUAAAAUUUUGGAUUUUUUAUGCCAUUAUCCUUUUUUCUUCAAGCAACAAUUUAAUUUAGUCUGCUAGUGAAUGAGGAUUUGGGGUAGCUGCGACACUUCGUCUAUGCCUUAUAACUUCUAAUGCCAACUUACGUUUUAUAUCUAGACUGUGACACUGCCUUUCAAGUGUUGUUUUAUAUCAUAAAUUACACCUAUUGGCAUGCCAAUUGCCGUUUUUUUUUGCAAGCUUUCCAAGUUAUUCAUUUUAGGUACUUCAGUAUGCUCCUACUCUAAGUUAUAGUCAAGUUUUGGCAAUAUUAAGGGUCUAAUUCACUCAUGGUCUCUUUAUGAAAAUUGCUCUCCUAUAUCUUAGCUAAUUCAGUGAUUUCUUUUGUGGCUUUACUUUUAUCUAUAAUCUUACAAAUAUUAUUAUUUGCAUGCUAAUUAUUUUAGUCAUACUAAACUUAUUAAAUUUUCAUUAAGUAAUUUAUUCGACGUGAAAAUCUACUAAUAUGGCUUGAAUUUACACCGCUGCUAUUUGCUAAUUAAAGCCUUAACAUUUAUUAUCCUUGGACCGCACCCGAAGGCUGCCUACGUACCUCCAAUAGAGGAUCAGGCCUACGUAGCUCUUAACAAUAGAUAAUAACAUAAAGUUUAUACUAACAUAAUUUAUUCUAGCUAAUAAUCAACUACAUUAUCACAUUAUAUUUAGAAUCCAGUAAAUAACUAAGGAAACAUAAAUAAUUAUAUUUUCAUAGCUAUAUUUUGCACAAUAUUAUUAAGAAACUAGAUAUCAAUAUUCAAAAUAUGUAUAUAUAUAUAUAUACACACACACAAAUUUAUAUAUAAACAAAAAUCAAUAUAACUCAUCAAUAAUAAUUACUUGUACCGAUUAAAGCGUUUAAAAUCUAACUAUAUCACCAAUAUAAAUAACAACUAAACUUUUAAUAAACAAUAACUAUCUAAACUAACCCCUAAAUCAUACCUACCAUCUUAUAACUAUCACUUAUUUUAUGUGUGUACUCUUCUUGUAUCUUCAAUCUACAUUUACAUAAUGUUUAGCUAAUUAAUCUUUCUUUAAAACCCUUCGAUUUUGUAUUAUGAUAAUUCAAAUUUAUUUCCCUAAAAGGUUAUGACUAUGUUUCGAUAUCAAACAAUCGUUACGCUAAAAAGUGAACAAGAAGAUUGGUCACUGACAUGUUCUAGCCUAUUUCACCUACUCAUGGCUCUCCCUUUUUUCAUUUCUCUUGUAUUAUAAUAUACAUAAAAUGCCUCCUUUUAAUUACAAACAACACAAAAAACAAAUAUGUUUUUCGAGUACAUUGUCGCUAUCAUAGAAUUUUUCUAUACCUUAUUGCUGAUGUCUCUAGUAUUUUAUUUUAAAAGGAUAUAAACUUUUAUUAGAAGUCACUUCAUAGUAAUUAGAAACUUGUCAUGAAACAACUUCAGAUAUAAGGCAUCUACCAUAUCCUAGCAGAUUCUUAAAAGUGAUGCACAAACUUUCCAAUCAAUGCUGCAAUGUACAUAAUGUAAUCUGCAGCUUACAAUACACACAUUUGCAGCAUUGAAUAGGUUAUUGGGAUCACGACUUUAGACUAUCACCCCAAUCUUCUAAUACAUGUUGAAUGUCAAAUAACAUUCUUAGCCAACUUACAAAAACCUAUAGUAGAGUUAUAUCCUGACCUUAACUUGUAACGUAAAAACAUUUGCUUAUACUUGUUCCUUCUCCUUAAUACCUAGAACGGCCUAAACGUUAGUUCUAAUGUAUCUUCAAUCCCCCUUUACAAAAUGUUUAGUUAAUUAAACUUUCUUUAAAACUCUUGAAUCUGUUAUUAUAAUAAUUCAAAUUUAUUUCUCUCGAAGGUUAAGACUAUGUUUCGAUAUCAAACAAUCAUCACAGUAAAAAGUGAACAAGAAGAUUGGUCACUAACAUGUUCUAGCCUAUUUCACCUACUCAUACAUCUCCUUUUUUUCAUUUCUCUUAUAUCAUAAUAUUUAUAAAAUUCCUCUUUUUAAUGAUAAACAAAACAAAAACAAUUAUGAUUUUUGAGUACAUUGUCGCUCUCAUAGAAUUUUUCUAUACCUUAUUGCUAAUAUCUCUAGUAUUUUAUUCUAAAAGGAUAUAAACUUUUAUUUGAAGUCUAUUCAUAGCAGUUAGAAACUUGUCAUGGUACAACUGCAUCACAUAUAAGGCAUCUACUAUAUCCUAGCAGAUUCUUAAAAGUGAUGCACACAAUUUCCACUCAAUGCUACAAUGUCCAUAAUGCAAUCUGCAGCUUACAAUACAAACGUUUGUAGCAACGAAUAGAUUAUCGCGAUCACGACUUUAGACUAUCACCUCUAUCUUCUAACACAUGUUGAAUGUCAAAUAACAUUCUUAGCCAACUUACAAAAGCCUAUAGUAGAGUUAUAUCCAGACCUGAACCUAUAAGGUAUACACAUUUGCUUAUACUUGUUCCUUCUCCUUAACACCUAGAAACGCCUAAACGUUAGCUCUAAUACCACUAACUCCAACAUCCCUAUAAGGUUAUUUAACUAACCGAAAUGGAGAAGCACCGUGGUGCUUCUCUCAUUUUGUCAAUUAACUAUUAUCAUGUAUUUCAUGACAUUUAAUAUAUUUUUGGAUAAUGGCAUAUAAAAUUUAAACCUUUAUGAAUUUUUGCAUUUUAAUUAAAAUGAUUUUACUUGGUACAAUAAGUUAGGAUUUAAAAACAUUUAGCGAUUCAAUUCAAAUUUGAAAUGAAAGUGGGGGAGCAUUUGCCGGUAGCUAACGUGACGUUCCAUCUGCAUUUUUUUAUUACUUAAUGGUGGAUCAUACGCUACACACUGAAUAACCAAUAUGAGAAAUUAACCAUCGGUUAAUGGUAAAAAUCCAAGUUUGGUGUUUAUCUAACCUGACUUAAAGUCGAAUUUCGAAAUUGCUCACGGAAUAGUUCAGCUACGCUUUUUCUAAGCGAAGCAACGCUGCAACCUGCAACAUCUAGAGAGCUAAAAUCUUAGCCGUCUAACAACCUAGGAUCCUUACUUAUCAGCACCACCGCCGAUGCAGUCUAUCUUACACUCCUGAAUUACUGUCAGCAUUGUCUUCAUAUCAAAUCUACCUAUGGACACCAUCGCCACUCCCAUAGUUAAAACUCUCACGAAAUUACAUAAACCAUAAACAUGAAAAUAAGGCAACGAAAAAGAAAGAAAGUUGCAGCUGCCAUCCAG
rnacentral:lncRNA from 1 species